rnacentral:rRNA from 1 species
UGGGGAAUAUUGCACAAUGGGCGCAAGCCUGAUGCAGCCAUGCCGCGUGUGUGAAGAAGGCCUUCGGGUUGUAAAGCACUUUCAGCGGGGAGGAAGGCGGUGAGGUUAAUAACCUCAUCGAUUGACGUUACCCGCAGAAGAAGCACCGGCUAACUCCGUGCCAGCAGCCGCGGUAAUACGGAGGGUGCAAGCGUUAAUCGGAAUUACUGGGCGUAAAGCGCACGCAGGCGGUCUGUCAAGUCGGAUGUGAAAUCCCCGGGCUCAACCUGGGAACUGCAUUCGAAACUGGCAGGCUAGAGUCGUGUAGAGGGGGGUAGAAUUCCAGGUGGAGCGGUGAAGUGCGUAGAGAUCUGGAGGAAUACCGGUGGCGAAGGCGGCCCCCUGGACAAAGACUGACGCUCAGGUGCGAAAGCGUGGGGAGCAAACAGG